AGCUAUUAAUAGUAUUUUAAUAUACACAUAUAAGUAAAUACAUUUUUUUUUUUUUUUUUUUUUUUUUUAAAUUUUAUUUUAUAUUAUAACUUUUUAAUUUGACAUAUGACUAAUAUUUAUGUGUAUGCUGAUUCUUUAAAUUUGAAAGUUCAUAAUACAAAAUUAUUGGAAUGUAUUAAUAUAUAUAUGUAUAUAUAUAUUUUAUUCUUUUUUCAUAUAUCUUAAAUAUAUUUUAAUUUUUUACACAGGGAUUGCAUUUUUUAUACUUAUUUUUUUUUUUUUUUAUUUAUUUAACUUUUAAUUCUUUUCAUUAGUAUUUUUAUUUAAUAUUACAUUAUUUUGUUUGUACUAACUUUAUUUGUAACCGAUUUUUACUGUUCAUAUAUAUUAUAUAUUGCAUCUUAUUUAUCGCCAUCCCAUUUAAUUUUAAUUCUCUUAUACAUACAUAUAUAUAUAUAUAUAUAUAUAUAUUUUUUUUUUUUAUAUAUGUUGCUUAUUCUAUUUCUCACAGGUACACUUUUGAUGUUUAUAAAUUUACAUGCUAAUUUUUUUCUUUUUUUUUUUCUUUAUUUCUUUUUCUUUUUGUUUUUAUACAAGGAUGUAGUUCUAUUUUUCUUAUUUCAUUUUAUUUCUUUUUUUUUUUUUUUUUUUUCUUUUCCCCAUUUUUUCCCAAACAUUCUUAUUUUGGAGUGUUUGAAAAAAAGUGGAGGAAAAAAAAAAAAAAAAAAAAUAUAAGAAAGAAAAAGAAAAAAGAAAAAAUGAUCAUCGAAAUCCUUAGAAAGCAUGGGAAGAAAUUCUCACCCUGAACCCAUAAAGUAGCUGAUUUUUUGCUCAUAAGUACCUGAAUUAUUGCUAUAAUGAAAAAAAAGAAAGGAAAAAAAACAAUAGCAUAUGGUUUGAUUCUUUCUUUUUUUUCAUAGUAAAUAAUCAUGAACAUGAGGUUGUAUAUAGGAUUAGAGCGGAAGUAAAUAAAAGCGUAUAUUUUUUUUUACAAAUAAAGCUCAUUGUCUUUUUGUAAUUGUAAAAAGAAAAAAAUGAAAAACAAAAAACAUAAAAAAGGAAAGAAAAAAAAAAAAAAAAGAGGAGAAAAAGUAUAGGGGCAAGGAGAAUUCUUCUUUUUUUUUUUGUAUCUUUUUUUUUUUUUUUUUUUUUUUUUUUCUUUCCUUUUUUUUUUUUUUUUGUUUUUCGUUUUUUUUUUUUUUUCAAGAAAUCAAAAAGAUCCUUAUACUUCAAUCAGAUAACCAAAUGUUGCGCUAUUAAUAUCUCUCAAGUCGACCAGGAGAUAAUGUUAUAUUACUAUUUUUUUUUUUUUUUUUUUUUUUUCUUUUUAAUUAUUUUAUACUUUUUCUUUUUGAUGUUUUAUUAUUUUUUUUUUUAUUAUUAUAGUUGUGAGAUAUAUGUAUUAAUACUUUCUCGUUUCUUUUUUUUCUUUUCCACUACAACAUUCAUUUAUGAAUGCCUACAUCCAAAAAGAAAAGGGGGAAAUGAAGGAAGGAUAGUAUUUAUAUUCUCAUAAUUAUAAUAUAAAGGAAGAGGGUAAAAUAUUAAAAAGGGGAAAUUAUUAAAAUAUUAAGGAGGAAAAAAAAAAAAAAAAAAAAAAAUAGAUAUACACACACGGAGAAAUGAUAUAUAUAUAUAUAUAUAUAUAUCAUUUCGAAGUAAGAAAGAAAAUUUAAUUUUCUUUAUAAAUAUGGUCGGAAUCUGUCGGCAUUUUUUCCCAAGUAGUUAUAUAUAUAUAUAUAUAUAUAUGUAUAUAUUUAUAUAACUUCUUGAGAAAAAUGUUUUCAUUCAUGGAGCUGUUAACUCGGCGUGAAUACAAUAACAGGUUGUUUCAUUACAUACAUGAAUACGAUAGACAAAAACUGGCGAAGAUACAUUUCAAAAAUAUUUAUAUUUUCUGAAAUGAUAUCGAAAUUCGAUCUGCCUAAAAAAAGAAAUUAUGAAAAUAUGUUUUUUCUUUUAUAAUAGUUAGCACAUUUUAAAUGAACUAUGGUAUUUCAGGGCUCAACAUAUAUAUAUAUAUAUAUAUAUAUAUGUGAGUGUUUAUACUUAGUGAUUUCUUAUACGAUGAUCUUAGAAAUAUAUAUAUAAUUAAAAUUAUUACUUAUUUAUGAGGAAUAUAUAACAUUGUAUUAAUUAUUUUGUUUA
rnacentral:sRNA from 1 species